UACAGAGGGUGCGAGCGUUAAUCGGAGUUACUGGGCGUAAAGGGCGCGUAGGUUGUUGUAUAAGUUAGUUGUGAAAUCCCCGGGCUUAACCUGGGAACUGCAACUAAUACUGUAUGACUAGAGUACUGUAGAGGGUAGUGGAAUUUCCGGUGUAGCGGUGAAAUGCGUAGAGAUCGGAAGGAACACCAGUGGCGAAGGCGGCUACCUGGACAGAUACUGACACUGAGGCGCGAAAGCGUGGGGAGCAAACAGG
rnacentral:rRNA from 1 species